UGUCCGUUGUCCACUCCGCGUGCUCGCGAU
rnacentral:sRNA from 1 species